AUCAAGGGAAGAGGACUAACAUUGGCUGAUGGAGCAGGGCUCCCUACAAAGCAAGCAGAAUCCAACUGCCACCCAUGAAGAAGGCAACACUGACAGGAUCAAAUGACCCACUUCUCUGUUCCUGGUAUCAUGCCCAAGAUACCCAAUGAAUGAGAAAGAAACCACUGGAGACUCCAGUCUCGCUGCUUUUCUGGAGUGGGAAGUUCAGUAUCAUCCCAGCAGUUUCAUUAGACACCCAGCACACACAUUAUCAUCAUUCCCAGGCAGCCCUAGAUAACAUCAGGCUUGAAGAUGUGCUACCACCUACAGCCCCAGG
rnacentral:lncRNA from 1 species